rnacentral:lncRNA from 1 species
GUCUCUCUCCCUCUUCUCUGCAACUCCGGCCACCUCUUGAUUCCGGCCACCUGGGAACGAACAAGUGCCACUGCUGGACUCCUCUACUCCUACCCAACCUCCCCACGGCGAUAACUCACGGCGGUUUGGACGGAAAACGAAGAAUCAAGCCCGGAAACUUUACUGUAGCAGUUUGAGUCAACGCCGAUUUCUCUCGAUUCCAGCCAUAUCCGGCCACCAAACCGGCGUCGAAGGUUCGGUUUUUGCCAAGGAUCAUUUUCCCCCUAGCCUUGAGCCACGAUUUGCAGUGUAGAGGAAGAAUCGACGAUUGGAAGAUUACGGUCACUAUUCACAGUUUGAGUUCAAGCUUCUCCUUAAUUGUUGAGGGCGAUGUACCGAGCUAUUGCUCGACGAAGGAACUCGUAUGCAUGGUCGCCUAAAUAGUACUUUUGCAGGCCAGUUUAGCUUGAGGUCGAGCGUACUUGGGGUUGAGGCAUAGCUGUCAUAGCUU